CUAAAUAUUAAGUUUUGACACAGGUUGACGAUGCAGAGACAAUAGAUCUGCUUACUGAGGAGAUGGACUCAGUUGAUACAGAACAAGACAUUGGAUCGGUUUGAAUCGACUCAACUUCUUUCUGGCUCCUACGAUAAAGAAUGUGCUGUUAUCACAAUCACAGCUGGUGCAGGGGGUACUGAUGCACAGGUAAUACCAGCUCUUAAUUUCGAACCAUUUCCCCUCGAUGGAUUGUGGAGUCGAUGAUUUACACUUGCUCCAUCCACAGAAUGGAUGUAAAUAUGAACUGAACCUACUAUCAGAUUUUCAGACCUAAACUUGUGUCCUCAAUUAUUAACUGAAGUGGCCAAAAGUGCUUCAAAGAUAUACUGAACAAAUCCAUCAAAAUUGUGUAUGUGUAAUUUGCUACAAAGAUAUAGUGUGAUGCCAGAAGAAAGUUCUCAUGUUUCUUUCUGAAAUUGG
rnacentral:lncRNA from 1 species